rnacentral:lncRNA from 1 species
UUAAGCAUUUAAUAACAUGGUUAUGGAAAAAAUUACACAUACAGCUAUUCAUUAAAUAAUAAAACUGUGUUUAUUUACCAUACUACAAAAGGCGUUAUUUUAACUUUUACCUGCUUUAAAAAGCUUCAACUAAUUAGAGAAAGACGAAAAAUACCAAUCAAAAAUUAAACAUUAAAUAAAGAAACAGAAUCUUAACUUUCUUGUAUAUUAAUAAGAUAUAUUGUGUUUUUAGUGGUGUCCCUGGCCAUAAUAGUUUCACAAUACAAAGAGCUUUCUUUAUUUAAUUAUAAACCAGAUGUUUUAAUAAAAACCUGAAACAAACACAGUGUUGAAAAACAUAAAUAAAGAGCUACAAUAAUAUAAAUUGUUAAUAUUUAUAAUGGUUACACGGUAAUUACACAAAGCAAAAACCUAUUACCUCUAAAAUUUUAGAUUCAGAAGAACAUAAUUUGUACAAAGUAUGAUUGCAAGCUGUAGAAAGGAGAUAUUGAGUAGUUAACUACCAUAAAUACAUCACAUCGACUUCCUGAGCGAUAUAUUAGCGUUAUCUGUGAAAUUCAUUGUGUAACUAUUUGAAAAUGGGGGUGAGCCAAAUUGGGCACAUGGCCAUAUUGAGUACCAUAUUAAGUACGGGUAUCCUACAUUAACUUUACGAGAUCAUGUAAGAGGUAAAAGUAAAAGGAUAGAAAUCGAUUAUCUCCUUUCGAUCAUUCAAAUUAUUUUAAUAAUUAUUCCGAUGACACACGGUUACGAUUUUUAAUUAAUGCAAUUAUCGCGGAUCCGCGCGUCUCUCGUUCCGAGGGGGUGUAACGAGGGGAAAAAUAUGACGGCGCAGCGGACAAAAGCAACUCCACGUCGCCGCAUCCGAAUUUUUGCGUCGCCAUGGACGGAGAGCUUCGCCGCAUCGCCAGAUCGCGACCUGAGAGCUCCGAAAGGGGAUGAUGGAUAGUGUUUACCUGUAAUGAGUAAAUAUCCUCGCCCGGCCUCUACCAUCGCUCGUGGUGAAGGUUCGAGGGAGCGAGAGAGCGGUUCGUGCUCGCUAACAAGCGUCCUCGUUUGCAUUCCUAUUUCUAUACCCUUUCGCAAAAUCCUUCCUGCACACGCGCGCGCGCGCGCGCGUUACCGUGUCAGCACCGGCAAAGUUAGCAGUCAUUGAAUUCGCGUUCGCGUUGGAGGCGAGGAGGAUGCGAGCGGAGGCGAGGAAUACGCGACCCUCAUGUUUUCCGAGCGGCAGGAAAGCAGCACGCAUAUGUGUGUACGUAUGUAUGUAUGUAUGUACGUAGGUGUAACAGCAACAGCGCGAAUUGACGUUGAAUAAGCGAUGUGGUGCUCGUGCUUUACGAGAUACGCUUUGCGAUCUGAUGAUUAACCAAGAGUUUCUACGUACAACAGUUACGCGACGCAACGUCUAUCCAUAUUCUCGGAGACCGUUGGCACAACGUAUUUUUGAGAGAUUAUUUCUCGCUGAUUACCUUUAGAAAGCAAAUAUCGUUUUAUAAAUAAAUAAGUAUUAGAAGAAUGAUCUACAUAGUACAAUUAAGUGCCCGAAAUAUGGAACACUCUUAACAUUUUUUAAACACCAGAACAACCGGUAUUAAAUUUAUGCAAACUUCAACCAUUUUUUUUGUUCUUUUUAUAGUUAUUAUUUUAUAAUUUUUUUAGUAUUUAAAUAAUUACCGAGAAUAAAAAGUCCGACAGAAAUCAUCCUAAUGGCUUUCGCAAUUUAAUCUAGAGAUCCGAAACUGGUUAUUUUUACGAGUUUGGUUGCUCUUGUGUUAAGGCUACUCGAUCCGUUCUCAUGUUAAACCCAGGUAAAAACAAAAUAAAAAAAAAAGUAACAAAUUCGCUUUUAUUUAUUCAUACUUCACUUUGUCACACGCCCGACUCGGUGCCUGCGCCGCGGCAUAUUAACGCGCCGGUUCUAAGUGACGCCUACGCGCGUAAACGCUUAUUUCACGCAUUUGUGUACACAACCGACAGGAGUAGGUUUACGUCGGAGAUUAUCUGCGAGCUUAACUACUGCUGUUUUCAGAGACAAUAGAGGGAGAGAUGUAGCCAGGACCGUGGCGGGCUUUAUGAGCCUGAUGCAUCAGUAAUACCGGUCGAAAUUUGGCUGCUGAUAUUCCCAUCUCCAGGCGAUGUAUGACCACUGCCGAGGAAACGGGCGGGCCCGGGCUGAGCUUUCGCGUGGCAUCGUUACAGGUGCGCGUAAAGCCCCGAGAUGGACAACGGCUGCUCCGUGCAUACAUCUCUCAUCACGUCACGUUACACUGGCAAUUGUUGGCCGACGUUUCGGUAAUUGCGACGUCGAUGGAACACCCUCGGCGAUUUGCGCGGAAGAGGGCUGAGACAAGAUCGAGGACGUGCGAGGCUGAUAUUAUUUACGAUUGCCAAUUCAUUUAUGCUUCAAAUGCAUCCGCUUGAUUAAUUAUUGAUUCACAUGAACUGGCCGCAUAUCGCCCCAGGCACAAUAUGUCAUUCUCUGUGAGUGCAAUAUUAAUAUUAUUUAGUUUCGCGCUUACGGCGAUCACGCGUUAAAGCUUACUGCGUGAUUACUGCUGAAAAUAUGUUAAGAUAUAAUUAUAUAUUAAUUAUGCAUUAAUUUUAAAUUUUAUUAAAAUAUUAUUUUAAUAUAAUAAUAAUAAAUAUUCUCUCUCACAAUAUCAAUAUAAUUAUUAUAUUAAUGCAAAAUUUGCUAAACAAAAUCUGGCCUAUUAAAUUUAAUAACGAUUCAUCAUCUAAUUAGCGCACACUUUUAAUUAAUUAACGAGGAACGAUCAGGGGCGAUAUGCUUUGAAUGAAUUAUUGCUUUCUGUGGUGCGUGCCGAUUGUAUCUGUUGCGUGAUCAAUUUCGGUAUCUCGUGGUCUUUCAAAGAGAAAGAGAGAGAGAGAGAGAGAGAGAGAGAGAGAGAGAGAGAGAGAGAGAGAGAGAGAGAGCUCUUGUUAUCCGUUGUCUGAAACUGUCACCAGACUGGACAAGCUCACAUAAUUAUCGGCAUCUCUAGACAAUGGUGCUCGUUAGCCGCUGCGGAACUAUUGCUCAAGACAGGUCCUCACUCGUUGAAGGCCACUAGCCUUUGGGGAAACCAGUAUUACUUCCUUUCUGGACCCUGUCCAAGUUGUUCUGGUUGUUUAGUGGACGAGCGUCUCCUCGCUUGGCUUUCGUUCAUCUCUUUAUCCCUCUUUUUCAUCUGUUCUCUUUUUUAUGUUCGAAAAAAUGACACCGUAAUCGUUACGUAGAUAAUUGACAGAAUAGUUAAUGUUAUAUUAAAUUUGUAAUUUAUUAGCUGUGUAAAAAUUAACUGCUAAUAAACCGCAACAUUUUCAAUUAACUAAGUAAAACAAAGUAACGAGUCACCUGCAAAGAUCUUUUCAUCCUCAACGAUGCCCUUUGAAGAACUCGACCUUUCUAAAUUAUCGAGAUUUCCUGUAUAAAAAUAUUAAGAUCGAGAGAAUUUUCGUAAAUAAUUACGCGCGAUGCUCGCACAAUUAUAGAUUCUCUUUAAAAGAAAUAUUCUCAGCGUAAAGUACGCGUGGCGACGCGUAAUCAAAAGAGACUACUAAAACUUUUUCUUUUGCUACACGGCUAUAAUACGCCGUGAAAUUUGCGUCGCAACAUUUAUGAAUUCCACUGACGAGCCGAGGCGAUGUCGGGAUAUCCAACGCAUUGUUGCGGCGACGAAGAUAAAAUAAUAUAUGACGGAAGGCGGGAAGAACAACAUUGCGAGGCCCAGAAUUUAAGUGCGAGGAUUUGUAACGUGGGAGAAAAAGCUGCCCGAGUGUGCCGGUGUACACGCCGUACGUUACUACUGUGAGCCACCGUUUCGCAUCCAUCUCGCUCUCAGCCGCAAUAUGGCCGCGAAUUAAUUGGUCUUGCCCCAUGAUUAGUAGGUCCCGCGGAAUUACCGCGAUGCCCCGCUGUGAUUAAUAUCCUGGUGUUGCCAACUUUCGCGCGCGGAAGAUUAAUAACGGCGAAAACAGGCGAAGGGGAAGGAGGAAGAGGGUUUCCGAGCGGAACCGGCGACGGGCAGAGUCCUCCCCUUCCUCCUCUCCCUCUCUCUCUCUCUCUCUCUCUCCCUCGCUCGUACGGGGAGUUUUAAUACAGCGGCGACGGUUUGUCACCGCAGAGUUUCGCCGUCCGAAUCCGCUUCGUAUUUCCUUGCCUCUCUAUUGCGCUCGCAGCCGGCAUCCGUCUGUGCCUGUCACGCGCAGGUGUAUAAUCCUUUUUCAAAUAGCUCCGGUCGCGCGCGCUUCAAGUGGAAUCGGCGAUGUGUCUCGAUCAUGGGCGCGCGAUGUCUUCCACACGCGACUCCGAAAGAGAAAUCGAGACUCUGCCGUGGUUGUAACAUUUUUUUUACAUCUCGAUCGGACGACUGACGCAUUCCGUAGCUUUAUGCAGAACGUAAGGAAGAUAUGAUGUAUUCAAGGAACGAACCUUGACAUUAUCUCCGUGAAAUUAAUACACGUGCGAUCGUGGACUUCUAGGCGUUAAAUAUAGGAAAAUCCUGUGUUAAACGCGAAUGAAACGUGAAACGUGGAAUAGGCGAAAAAAAAGUUAAGGUCGUAUAAAAUAUCGCGCUAUUUUACGGCUUGCUAGAAAUUACAUUCACGGCUUGCGACAUUUCCAAGUUAUUAAAUAUCGUCGUAAUCUUUCAUGAUGGCUAUUAGAAAUAUAAAGCUGAAGCUAAGUUAAAUGGUUUUCUGAGUGUAAAUUAAAGUCCGUUUGAUUUUCGCGAGAGAAAGUGCAAAUGGCAGAACUUUCGCACGCUUCACGAACUUUCACAGAUUCUAAGAAUAUGCAUUAAGAAUAUAAAAUUAUGUAAAUACACAUUUAUAAUCAUAAAAAAAGACAUUACCAGACUUUAAAGCCAACUUUAUCCGAGUUUCGCGAUAUUUUGAUAAAAAAUAAAAAUUAUUUUACAAACUAAUGCAAUUUUUAAUUAACGUGGAUAGAGCAGUAAUUUAACAAUGGUAGCAUUGUAUUAAUAUAUUAUGCUCUCCUUACACAACCUUCAGCUUCUCUCCUUUUAAAGUUUGAUGAAUGUCGGAAAAAGCUCAUUUUAAAGGUUGAAGCAGGUUGAAGCGUACAGUAUCGAUUCCCGAUUGAAUUUAAAUAUCCUUCGUUCAUAGUUUAUAAUCGCAAAAUUAUCGGAUAUUAAUUUAAAUAUGCAAAUCACUUUUAACAUUUUCUAGUCCUCUUAUUUAAUAGUAACUAUAUCAAUAAAUUGUCCCUCGAUCAAAUUGUGAUCCAUUUGUAAAACCUGUAAAAUUGACUUCGUGUAAUUACAACUUUUAAAGUUGUAAACACAGCUCUAACAAAUGUAAAGUAAAUAUUGUAAAAACACGCCAAAUACAAAUAAUAUCCGCAUGUCAUCUCUCUAUAUGUAGCUCUCUAUGUAUCACUGUCUAAAAAAUAAAAAAAAAAAAAAAAAUCGAGAAAAAGCAUCCUGGAUUAUUUUUCCUGUUAAACAACGUUGCAACGGUUGUAGUGGUUUUCGAAUCGCCCACGGCGCAAAAUUUACAUUAAAAUGUUCUUUAAAAUUGAAGCUGCGAACGAGUUCUAAAUUCACGUCGUCCAGCUCGUUCUGGUCAAACACGCAGAUGAAUGAAUUCCACGUCGCGGGGGCCAACGCACAGCCGGUGUUCAGACACACGUAAAUUAUUUCGCGUCGUUAACGCAGCCGGUUCUCCCCAAUGACGUUUCGUAGAAGUGCGGUCAACAGUGCAAGCGGUAGCAUUUAAUUAACGUAUGUAUUAUACCGUUGGAGAGCGUAGCGACCGAUGCGGUAUCUGCAGACUAGAAACAUAGCAUUAAUCAUAAAUAUAGGGGAGGGGGAGGGGGAUUCCAAUGCGUAUUCCGACACGCAUCACACAGCAGCGGACUAACUCUGCAAUGCGCGAAAUUCAUUCGCGUACUUAAAUAUGCAUACGACUGGAUUAAUGCGAAUUCCAACAGAAGUUUAUAAAUUGCAUCGCAUCGUGAUACGUAUGACGUAUCGUCAAUAUAUGUAUGCAUAAUUCACGGUUGUAUUGCUAAUAAAGCUCUCAUCGAAGCGCAUUAUAGCCGUGGAAUUUGUAUAAAUAAAUAAACAGUUAUAUACAUUUUAUAGCGACUUAUUUUACAUAUGUGCAAUAUAUAUCUAUAGGCGAGAGUUGUCUGAAAGCGUGCUGGCCAUCUAAAUUGCACUUCAUCAAUAUUUUAUAUUUUUGUUUAUAAGAAACAUUUGGUCACAAAAAUAUGAAAUAAAUAGAAUUAAACAAUAUAGACAAAAAGUUAACAAGGUAACAUUUUGUGUGUGCUAAAAAUACUUUAGGUACAACUGGUGUUAAAUUUUGAUUAAUUUACAUAGCUGAUAAUAAUGUAUUCAUAUGCAAUUUUAUAUUAAAUUUUUAUAUUUUCCAAAAAAAUUAUUUGUAGAAUACUUUAUAUUCAUUGAAUAUACAUAUUUGUAAUUAUUAUAAACAUUAAUUUAAUAUUUUUAUAAAAUCUAUCAAGUUUUCUAAAUCACUAUACCAUUUAAAAUUGGAUUACAAGAAAUAAUAACGAAUACCUAAAAAAAGUAAUACUGUUUUUUUUUCAGAUUAAAUAAACAUUGCCACUUUAUUCGUGACGUGAUUUAUUAUUACAUAACCUAUACACUGAAUAAAUUUAAUGUGUCAAUUAUAAAAUUUAAAAAAAAUUUAGGUGUACCGUUAAAAAUAGAACAUAAAAUAAGAUGCAUAUUAGACAUUUGAUAUUGUAUGAGUUUCGAAAAGAUAACAAUGCCACUAGUACCACAAGUGCCAUU